ACGCAGGCGGUUGAUUAAGUUAGAUGUGAAAUCCCCGGGCUUAACCUGGGAAUGGCAUCUAAGACUGGUCAGCUAGAGUCUUGUAGAGGGGGGUAGAAUUCCAUGUGUAGCGGUGAAAUGCGUAGAGAUGUGGAGGAAUACCGGUGGCGAAGGCGGCCCCCUGGACAAAGACUGACGCUCAGGUGCGAAAGCGUGGGGAGCAAACAGGAUUAGAU
rnacentral:rRNA from 1 species